rnacentral:rRNA from 1 species
AUUUGAGGUCUGGCCUGCCCACUGAAGUAGUUUUAAAGGGCCGCGGUAUAUUAACCGUGCGAAGGUAGCAUAGUCAAUAGUCUUUUAAUUGGAGGCUUGAAUGAACGGUCGGACAUAGGAAAGUCUGUCUUCGGUUGAUUAGGGUGAAUUUAACUUUUGUGUGAAAAGGCAUUAAUAUCUUAAGGGGACGAUAAGACCCUAUAAAACUUGAUGAUUUGGCUGAUCUCUGUGAUUUGAGAGUAAUGUGGAGCUUAAGUGGGUUUAUUGUGCUGGGGCGGCAGGAAUAUAAUGAGUAACUGUUCUUUUAUACGAAAUAGUUUAAUUAGAAGGUGACCCUGAAAUUUCGGGUUUAAG